GGAGAGAUGGCUCAGUGGUUAAGAGCACUGACUGUUCUUCCAGAGGUCCUGAGUUCAAUUCCCAGCAACCACA
rnacentral:tRNA from 1 species